AACGAACGCUGGCGGCAGGCCUAACACAUGCAAGUCGAGCGAGACCUUCGGGUCUAGCGGCGGACGGGUGAGUAACGCGUGGGAAUAUGCCCUUUGGUACGGAAUAGCCUCGGGAAACUGGGAGUAAUACCGUAUGUGCCCUUCGGGGGAAAGAUUUAUCGCCAAAGGAUUAGCCCGCGUUGGAUUAGGUAGUUGGUGGGGUAAUGGCCUACCAAGCCUACGAUCCAUAGCUGGUUUGAGAGGAUGAUCAGCCACACUGGGACUGAGACACGGCCCAGACUCCUACGGGAGGCAGCAGUGGGGAAUCUUAGACAAUGGGGGCAACCCUGAUCUAGCCAUGCCGCGUGAUCGAUGAAGGCCUUAGGGUUGUAAAGAUCUUUCAGCUGGGAAGAUAAUGACGGUACCAGCAGAAGAAGCCCCGGCUAACUCCGUGCCAGCAGCCGCGGUAAUACGGAGGGGGCUAGCGUUGUUCGGAAUUACUGGGCGUAAAGCGCACGUAGGCGGAUUGGAAAGUUGGGGGUGAAAUCCCGGGGCUCAACCUCGGAACUGCCUCCAAAACUAUCAGUCUAGAGUUCGAGAGAGGUGAGUGGAAUUCCGAGUGUAGAGGUGAAAUUCGUAGAUAUUCGGAGGAACACCAGUGGCGAAGGCGGCUCACUGGCUCGAUACUGACGCUGAGGUGCGAAAGCGUGGGGAGCAAACAGG
rnacentral:rRNA from 1 species